rnacentral:tRNA from 1 species
GUUGCAAUGGCCGAGUGGUUAAGGCAUUUGACUAGAAAUCCAAAGGGAUCUUCCCGCGUAGGUUCGAAUCCUACACGCAACG